rnacentral:tRNA from 2 species
GCCGCGGUCGCAUAAUCCGGCAUUGCGCUGGCCUUGAGAGCCAGUUUCCUUCGGGAUAUCCCGGUUCAAAUCCGGGCCGCGGCG